rnacentral:lncRNA from 1 species
UGGCUCUGAUUUAAAAACCUAUGACCUAAUCUCCCGCGUUCAUCCGCCGAUUGACGGACGUGAUGGCUCCAUUGCCCAACCGGUACGCUUGGAUGAUCUCGGCCGUGCAGAUUAGAUCCGACCACUCCCGAUCGUCUUCCUGACCCUGCCGAACUCCGCCGACCCCCAGCUUCACGCCGCGAUGAAGCCAUGGCCAGAGGGACCUGCUCUACCCCCCAAUGAGCCGAGUACUAAAUUCGUUGGGCGCUAAAUGAAAUUGGGACGAUGGCGGACCAGGGAAGGAAGAAUCUUACAAUGGUUACGCAGCGCUUGACUCUGUCCACGGCGCACGGCGAAUUCGCGGCGACAGUGAUGAAUUGGAGGCGCCCAGAUCGCUCCCCCUCCUUGAUUCCACUGUGAGUGCAUUCCGGAUGACCAGGCGGAGCUCCUCGACUCCACCCCGGGUACCCGCCAGCGAUGUUCUCACAUGGCGACAAUCUCUUUCCUCACGGAGAUCCGCUUGGACAACACGGCGGCACCGAGGCGAUUCACGGGGUGUCGAAAAGCGAAAAGGAAGAGGAGAGGAGAGGAAAGAAGUCGCGACGAUCCGGCCUAUAUGGGCGCAAGGUCGUUCGCGACGCGGAGCAAUGGAGCUCCGGGUCUUCGGGCGUACCCGCCCUAGUC